rnacentral:rRNA from 1 species
UACGAAGGGGGCGAGCGUUGUUCGGAUUUACUGGGCGUAAAGGGCGCGUAGGCGGCUCGACAAGUCAGGCGUGAAAGCCCCGGGCUCAACCUGGGAAUGGCGCUUGGGACUGGCGGGCUGGAGUUCGGGAGAGGAGCGUGGAAUUCCCAGUGUAGAGGUGAAAUUCGUAGAUAUUGGGAAGAACACCGGUGGCGAAGGCGGCGCUCUGGACCGAGACUGACGCUGAGACGCGAAAGCGUGGGGAGCAAACAGG